AGUGAACGCUGGCGGUAGGCCUAACACAUGCAAGUCGAACGGCAGCACAGUAAGAGCUUGCUCUUACGGGUGGCGAGUGGCGGACGGGUGAGGAAUACAUCGGAAUCUACUUUUUCGUGGGGGAUAACGUAGGGAAACUUACGCUAAUACCGCAUACGACCUACGGGUGAAAGCAGGGGAUCUUCGGACCUUGCGCGAUUGAAUGAGCCGAUGUCGGAUUAGCUAGUUGGCGGGGUAAAGGCCCACCAAGGCGACGAUCCGUAGCUGGUCUGAGAGGAUGAUCAGCCACACUGGAACUGAGACACGGUCCAGACUCCUACGGGAGGCAGCAGUGGGGAAUAUUGGACAAUGGGCGCAAUCCUGAUCCAGCCAUACCGCGUGGGUGAAGAAGGCCUUCGGGUUUUAAAGCCCUUUUGUUGGGAAAGAAAAGCAGCAGGUUAAUACCCCGCUGUUCUGACGGUACCCAAAGAAUAAGCACCGGCUAACUUCGUG
rnacentral:rRNA from 1 species